CCCUUACUCUCUUUCUCUCUAGCCUCUCUCUCUCUCUCCCUCUCUCUCUCUCUUCUCUCUUUCCCCCUGCAUUUCUAUGAUAAAGCUCUUAAACCAUAGAGAGUCUCUGCUCAUCAAGGCUGCGCACACUCUCGCAGGUGUUGGGAACCUCUUCCCUCAUCCCUCUCUCCUAUAACUCCAGAGCUUUAUUUAGCAAGGUAGCUCCGGGAAUCCCAGGUAGGGCUGCCCCUUUGGCCAUGCCCUGAAGAGUAGGAUAGAGGAAUGCCCACCCAGGGAAAAGUAGAAACUGACCAGAGAAUAGGUGGAACUCUGGUGGGGUAUGAGUCUUUUCCCUUCCCCUGGCCCCACUUUUUAGUUCACAACAUGCCACGAUCAAGCAUCAUGACUGCUCACUGGCUUUUACCUCUGCUACUCUUUCACAUAUGGCCCAUCUGAGUCUUAAGAAGUAGAGCCCAUUUUCAGGUCAGAAGCUGAAAAGUAUAAGCCAACCAGAACACAGGGAUCCUGAAAACAAAAGAACAAGCAAGCAAGCACACAAAAAAAGAAACCAGAAGACAUUCACAAACUUAUAUUUUUAUUGAAAAUCAUUUUCAGAGAGUAGGACCCGAGCCACAUGAACGAUGCUUCCCACAUUUCAGGGCUCAGCUUCAGAGAGACCAGAGAGACUCUUCAGCCAACUACUGAUGGGAGCAAAUGCAGAGUCCCACAGCCAAGUAUUUGCUGGAGUUCAGGUAGUCCUGUGGAGGAGCAGGAGGAAGGAUCAGAGGAACCAGAGGGGCCUGGGACCCCACAAGCACAUAGUCCAUAGAAUCAUCUGAUGUGGACUCCUGAAGGCUUGCAGAGAACUGAGAACCACAAGGGGUCUGACCUAGGCCCUCUGCAGACAUGUUCUGGGAUCAACGAUGCUGUCUUGAACUUCACUUAAUUUACAUAUCCAGCCUUCAGAUCUGGAUGCAGAACUCUCAACUUCUCCAGCAUCAUGUCUGCCUGAAGGUUGCCAUGCUUCUCAACAUGGUGAUAAUAAACUAAACCUCUGAAACUGUAAGCCAGUCCCAAUUAAACACCUUCCUUUAUAGCA
rnacentral:lncRNA from 1 species